rnacentral:rRNA from 1 species
GACGGAGGAUGCAAGUGUUAUCCGGAAUCACUGGGCGUAAAGCGUCUGUAGGUGGUUUAAAAAGUCUGCUGUUAAAAAUUGAAGCUUAACUUCAAAGAUGCCGUAGAAACUUUUAAACUAGAGUAUGAUAGGGGUAGAGGGAAUUUCCAGUGGAGCGGUGGAAAUGGUGUAGAUAUUGGAAAGACCACCAAUGGCGAAGGCACUCUACUGGGCCAUUACUGACACUGAGAGACGAAAGCUAGGGGAGCAAAUGGG